rnacentral:rRNA from 1 species
AGUCGACGGAGAUAUUCGCUGAUGAAGUACUUCGGUAAUGAAUCUUGGACAUUUUAGUGGCGGACGGGUGAGUAACGCGUGAGCAACCUGCCUUUCAGAGGGGGAUAACGUUUGGAAACGAACGCUAAUACCGCAUGACAUUAUCUUAUCGCAUGGUAGGAUAAUCAAAGGAGCAAUCCGCUGAAAGAUGGGCUCGCGUCCGAUUAGGUAGUUGGUGGGGUAACGGCCCACCAAGCCGACGAUCGGUAGCCGGACUGAGAGGUUGGACGGCCACAUUGGGACUGAGACACGGCCCAGACUCCUACGGGAGGCAGCAGUAAGGGAUAUUGGUCAAUGGGGGAAACCCUGAACCAGCAACGCCGCGUGAGGGAAGACGGUUUUCGGAUUGUAAACCUCUGUCCUCUGUGAAGAUGGUGACGGUAGCAGAGGAGGAAGCUCCGGCUAACUACGUGCCAGCAGCCGCGGUAAUACGUAGGGAGCGAGCGUUGUCCGGAUUUACUGGGUGUAAAGGGUGCGUAGGCGGCUUGGCAAGUCAGUAGUGAAAUCCAUGGGCUUAACCCAUGAACUGCUAUUGAAACUGUCGAGCUUGAGUGAAGUAGAGGUAGGCGGAAUUCCCGGUGUAGCGGUGAAAUGCGUAGAGAUCGGGAGGAACACCAGUGGCGAAGGCGGCCUACUGGGCUUUAACUGACGCUGAGGCACGAAAGCGUGGGUAGCAAACAGGAUUAGAUACCCUGGUAGUCCACGCUGUAAACGAUGAUUACUAGGUGUGGGUGGACUGACCCCAUCCGUGCCGGAGUUAACACAAUAAGUAAUCCACCUGGGGAGUACGGCCGCAAGGCUG